rnacentral:rRNA from 1 species
AGGAUUAACGCUGGCGGCGUGCAUGAAACAUGCAAGUCGAGCGCGGUGUGAUGAGGGGUAACCCAAUUCACAUCUAGCGGCGAACGGGUGAGUAACACGUGAGCAACCUACCUUUGAGUUGGGGAUAGCCCUGGGAAACCAGGAUUAAUACCCGAUGUGGUCACAACAGGACAUCCUGAUGUGAGUAAAGGCGUAAGCCGCUCAAUGACGGGCUCGCGGCCUAUUAGCUUGUUGGUGGGGUAACGGCCUACCAAGGCGAUGAUGGGUAGCUGGUCUGAGAGGACGAUCAGCCACACUGGGACUGAGACACGGCCCAGACUCCUACGGGAGGCAGCAGUUAGGAAUUUUCCGCAAUGGGCGAAAGCCUGACGGAGCAACGCCGCGUGAGUGAUGAAGACCUUCGGGUUGUAAAGCUCUGUCGGAGGGAAGAACACAAUGACGGUACCUCCAAGAAGACCCCGGCUAACUACGCGCCAGCAGCCGCGGUAA